rnacentral:rRNA from 1 species
CCUACGGGGGGCAGCAGUGAGGAAUAUUGGUCAAUGGACGAGAGUCUGAACCAGCCAAGUAGCGUGAAGGAUGACUGCCCUAUGGGUUGUAAACUUCUUUUAUAUGGGAAUAAAACGUUCCACGUGUGGGAUUUUGUAUGUACCAUAUGAAUAAGGAUCGGCUAACUCCGUGCCAGCAGCCGCGGUAAUACGGAGGAUCCGAGCGUUAUCCGGAUUUAUUGGGUUUAAAGGGAGCGUAGGUGGAUUGUUAAGUCAGUUGUGAAAGUUUGCGGCUCAACCGUAAAAUUGCAGUUGAUACUGGCAGUCUUGAGUACAGUAGAGGUGGGCGGAAUUCGUGGUGUAGCGGUGAAAUGCUUAGAUAUCACGAAGAACUCCGAUUGCGAAGGCAGUUCACUGGACUGCAACUGACACUGAGGCUCGAAAGUGUGGGUAUCAAACAGGAUUAGAGACCCGGGUAGUC